rnacentral:rRNA from 1 species
GACGAACCGUGCGAACGUUGUUCGGAAUCAUUGGGCUUAAAGUGCGCGUAGGCGGGCUUCCGAGUUCGGGGUGAAAUCCGCCAGCUCAACUGGAGAACUGCCCCGGAUACUAGAGGUCUCGAGGGGGGUAGGGGCAUGCGGAACUGUGGGUGGAGCGGUGAAAUGCGUUGAUAUCCACAGGAACACCGGUGGCGAAGGCGGCGUGCUGGACCCUUUCUGACGCUGAGGCGCGAAAGCCAGGGGAGCAAACGGG